AAAAGAUGCAUGACCACAACUAAGUUCUGUUCAAUGGGAUGCAGGAAAUGUAAUGUGGACAACUUCUAGAAAGCAUCCUUAAAGGAAGAGUGUGGUUUUUCUCCUCUUUCAUCCUUCCUUCCGGCUGGAAUGUGGGCAGAUUGGCUGGAACUGGGCUCACUGUCUUGGAUCAGAAGCUUCUAACCCUUGUGACACCUGGACAUACUCUCACUAACUUCACAAGCCACAGGCUUGUUCAUUCAGCACGGAGAGGGUUCUGUAUCAAGAAUCUCCCUUUGACUUCCAGUUCAAGAUGAUGGAGUAGAAAGAUGUGUGCUUAUCUCCUUGAGAACACCAACGUUGCAACUAGCUACUGAUCAACCGUCGACAGGAGGACACUGGAACCCACCAAAAGAGGAACCUCACAUCCAAAGACAAAGCAGAAGUCCUAACAAGACACAGGCAAGAUCUUAGUUCCCCAACCAGGGAUUGAACUCCCGCCACCUGCACCAGAAGCUUGGGGUCUCAACCACUGGACCGCCGUGAAAGUCCC
ensembl:lncRNA